rnacentral:rRNA from 1 species
CAGCCGCCGCGGUAAUACGAGGGGGGCAAGCGUUGUUCGGAAUUAUUGGGCGUAAAGGGUGCGUAGGCGGUUUGAUAAGUCUGAUGUGAAAUCUCUGGGCUCAACCCAGAGUCUGCAUCGGAAACUGUCGGGCUUGAGUAUGGGAGAGGUGAGUGGAAUUUCCGGUGUAGCGGUGAAAUGCGUAGAUAUCGGAAGGAACACCUGUGGCGAAAGCGGCUCACUGGACCAUUACUGACGCUGAUGCACGAAAGCUAGGGGAGCAAACAGGAUUAGAUACCCGGGUAGUCCCUGUCUCUUAUAC